rnacentral:rRNA from 1 species
UACGUAGACCACAAGCGUUAUCCGGAUUUAUUGGGCGUAAAGAGCAUGUAGGAGGUCGUAUGCGUUUCUGGUUAAAGCCCACCGCCUAACGGUGGAAGUGCCGGGAAUACGAUACGACUGGAGGAGGUGAGAGGUGCAUGGAACUCACGGUGUAGGGGUGAAAUCCGUUGAUAUCGUGGGGAACACCAAAGGCGAAGGCAGUGCACUGGUACCUUCCUGACUCUGAGAUGCGAAAGCGUGGGGAGCAAAAAGG